rnacentral:rRNA from 1 species
AUUGAACGCUGGCGGCAGGCUUAACACAUGCAAGUCGAGCGGAGCGGCGGACGGGUGAGUAAUGUAUAGCUAAUCUGCCCUACACUAGAGGACAACAGUUGGAAACGACUGCUAAUACUCUAUAGUGUAGGAUGAGGCUAUAUUGUAUCAGCUAGUUGGUGAGGUAAUGGCUCACCAAGGCUAUGACGCAUAACUGGUCUGAGAGGAUGAUCAGUCACACUGGAACUGAGACACGGUCCAGACUCCUACGGGAGGCAGCAGUAGGGAAUAUUGCUCAAUGGGGGAAACCCUGAAGCAGCAACGCCGCGUGGAGGAUGACACUUUUCGGAGCGUAAACUCCUUUUGUUAGGGAAGCGGUACCUAACGAAUAAGCACCGGCUAACUCCGUGCCAGCAGCCGCGGUAAUAC